AGUGGGAUAACUGGGUAAAAUGGUGGUUCCAUUCCUAGUUUUUGAGGAAUCUCCAUACUGCUUUCCAGAGUGGUUGCACCAAUUUGCAACCCCACCAAAAAU
rnacentral:pre_miRNA from 1 species